rnacentral:lncRNA from 1 species
UUAAAUAUGUCUCGAAUUCUAGUACCGCAAGGUUUUCUAACCCUAUUCUGUUUUAAUUAUCCCAUUAAGUUAAGUUUAGAUUAUGCCUAAUUUAUUGAGAUAUUCCUAAUCUUAGUGGAUUUGUAUUCCUAGUUGUAUUAGGAUUUAACCAUUAUUAUAAAUAUACCCUUUAUUCCUUUAGUUUAGUGCGGAAGAUGAGAGAGGGAAUAUGGGUGUAUUUUUGGGAUUAGGGUUUUAUGAGAGAGGCAUAUUUUGUACACCACUUUGAUUAUAAUGAAGAUCUCCGCUCCGUCUUCGCCCGUGGACGUAGGCCGUUGGCCGAACCACGUAAAUAUUGUGUGCUUUAUGUUUCUUCUCUCUUUCUCGGAUCUCUUUUGGUAUUUUCGCAUCCGACGAACUAGAUCUUCUCGGUUUUAGUUCUAACAAACUGGUAUCAGAGCCGGAGUGUUUGUUUGGGUGUUUAAGACGUCGACGAAUUUGAGAUCGAGAAGUUUGAUCGCUCCAGCAGUUUCGCUCUACGACAAGUUGUCGUUCUGAUGCAACAGAGGUUGCAAAAGGCGUAGUUGGAGAUGAGAAGAUUGGCACUUCAGAGAAUCCCGCGGAUUUGCUCAUUAAGUUUUUAGGCGAUCAAGGUCAAGUAUUCCGUAAACUUGUUCGCAUGUGCAGUAGCACUUCAGGAGCUCUUGGGAUUUUGGUGGAGAAGACAUAGAAUUCAAGCCAAGGUGGAGAUUGUUAAAUAUGUCUCGAAUUCUAGUACCGCAAGGUUUUCUAACCCUAUUCUGUUUUAAUUAUCCCAUUAAGUUAAGUUUAGAUUAUGCCUAAUUUAUUGAGAUAUUCCUAAUCUUAGUGGAUUUGUAUUCCUAGUUGUAUUAGGAUUUAACCACUAUUAUAAAUAUACCCUUUAUUCCUUUAGUUUAGUGCGGAAGAUGAGAGAGGGAAUAUGGGUGUAUUUUUUGGGAUUAGGGUUUUGUGAGAGAGGCAUAUUUUGUACACCACUUUGAUUAUAAUGAAGAUCUCCGCUCCGUCUUCGCCCGUGGACGUAGGCCGUUGGCCGAACCACGUAAAUAUUGUGUGCUUUAUGUUUCUUCUCUCUUUCUCGGAUCUCUUUUGGUAUUUUCGCAUCCGACGAACUAGAUCUUCUCGGUUUUAGUUCUAACA